UUGGCUGGGGCAUAAAGCCAUGCCAGCCUGGUGUGGCAGCGCUCUGGCAGGACUCCCCUUGCUCUGCACUGCACUGCACUUUUUCCAGGACUGACUGCUGCGUCCAUCGGUCUUGCCACAUGGGCUGACACUGGUGUAGUGAGAGAGCAGCAUGUGCAGGUCCUUCACUGCACACUGUGCCCUGCCCUGAUCCGCUUUGCUCCGCAGCACGGAAACCACCCAGCUGCCCAGUCAGAGUUACAAAUGCCCCGGGUCCCAGCUGAGCAAAUAAAAAUGGUUUGCUACAAUUUUA